CGGGCGUGGUGACGUCAGGGCGGAAGCGCACGCUGCGUGAAGCGGCCAGAACCCGGCGGUCACGGGAAUAUCCGUCGCGCCGAGAACGCUGGUUAGUCUCACUCCGGGUUCCGGCUGCGUUGGGCGUGCGUGCAGCUCGCUGAGACUAUGGCGUCCGGGCCUCACCCGACCGCGGCCGCUGCCACCGCCGUCUCGUCUGCUGCCCCUAGCGCGGGCGGCUCAAGCUCCGGCACGACGACCACGACGACGACCACGACGGGAGGGAUCCUGAUCGGCGACCGUCUCUACUCGGAAGUUUCGCUCACCAUCGAUCACUCGCUGAUUCCGGAGGAGCGGCUCUCGCCCACUCCUUCCAUGCAGGACGGGCUCGACCUGCCCAGCGAGACGGACUUGCGCAUCCUGGGCUGCGAGCUCAUCCAGGCCGCCGGCAUUCUCCUCCGGCUUCCGCAGGUGGCGAUGGCAACGGGUCAGGUGUUGUUUCAUCGUUUUUUCUACUCCAAGUCUUUCGUCAAACACAGUUUCGAGAUUGUUGCCAUGGCAUGUAUUAAUCUUGCAUCAAAAAUCGAAGAAGCACCUAGAAGAAUAAGAGAUGUGAUUAAUGUAUUUCACCACCUCCGCCAGUUAAGAGGAAAAAGGACUCCAAGCCCCCUGAUCCUUGAUCAGAACUACAUUAACACCAAAAAUCAAGUUAUCAAGGCAGAGAGAAGGGUGCUAAAGGAAUUGGGAUUUUGUGUUCAUGUCAAGCAUCCCCAUAAGAUCAUUGUUAUGUAUUUACAAGUCUUAGAAUGUGAACGUAAUCAAACCCUGGUUCAAACUGCCUGGGUAGUCCAUGAUGGUAAGUCAUAGAACUCUGCCCUCUGCACUUCAGCCCAUGACCUCAGGAUGGCCUGAUUGGCUGCCCUGCUCUCCAGCCAAUCCAGUGCAAGCUCUCAUCCGAGAUUCACUGAAGUGGUCCAUAUCCAUCUGGCAGCAUCUUCUAGUUCUGUCGGGUUGUCAAAAAGGAUUUGUAUAUUUGUUUCUAGAAGUAACUAUUCAACAUGCCUAUGUAUUUAAUGUAUACCUGUAACUAUCAAAAUGAAUAGUUCAUUUUUGAUAGAUUUGUUGUCCAGCCAUUAUGACUUUUGUUAGGAGUUUGACUAGAUUUCUAUUUUUAGUAUGUAUAGCAUGAAUUCUACCAGUGGAAAGAGCAGCUUAAAAUGGGCACCAUCCCCAUUCUUGAUGAAUGUAUAGCUGCUGGGCUAUUGGAGGCAAUGGUAUUAGAAGUAAGAAGUACUGCAUUUUAAAGAGCUGUUAAUUUUAACAUAGAACUCUAAAACUUAGAUUUUAGAGAUGUGUGAUUUGUAGUGCUGACUUACUUAAAGUUAAAAUAAGGAGUUUGUGGUUCAGCCACAACUACUGUCUUAAGACUGUUGAUGUGCAGUACUUAAGUGAUGUAAUUCUUAUGUUCUGGACUUAACGACUGCCAUGCUGCUUUAUUAGUAAUAUUAGAAAAGUCUCAUUGCUUUUAUAAAAUGCAUGACUUUGAUAUAUGUUCUAUAGAUUUUUAGCAGUUUUCAUGGGUUACGGACUUUUAAGAAAACAGUCUUUUAGUUUAACCUUUUGAACAAUUUGUAAAAUUUAUUCAAUACUUCAGGAAUAUUGUGGGGAGGGUUCACUAUUAUAAAAGUCCAGUGAUUUAUUAACUGAAGUAGUUACUGCUUUUAUUUAUAUUUAGUCACACUUGUAUAUAAACAAGGCUGUUAUAUAUAUUACUUGCUCUUCACUUCCCAACCUAGGUUUUCUGAACUAGCUUAGUUUUCUUAAUUUGGUGCGUGCUUACUGAAAAUGCCUUUUUAUCCCUAUCACAGUAUUGAAUUUUUGAAAGAACUUGAUUGACACUGCUUUUCAUUGUGGAUAAAGGAGAGAGAUGGUCAAUAAUUAAUGGCUUGAAGUAUUGUUGGAGUGGUUUAUCAUUUCUGAAACUAAUCAUGUCAGAACUUUCAGAGCGUUGCUUUUCAUAGAAAUAUGUUUUUUUAAAAAACUGUUCUAUGUGGAGUAAUAGUAUGGAAUUAUUUUAAAGGACUUCUGUCCUAUAUAGGAGACAUGAAGAAUGAUUCUAGUGUUAAAUUCUUAUCUCUUACUGCUUUUGAGUUAAGAAUUGUUAUAUGCUAGAAUACUGAAAAUACAAACAUGAGAAGAAAAAAGAAUAAAGUAGAUUGAGUCUCCAAUUUUAUGUAAGGUUCAGAGGAACUGAUUUGUUUACAUACAAAGCUUAUGGUUGAAAUAUUUUUCAGGAAUUAUAUGAAUGACAGUCUUCGAACCAAUGUAUUUGUUCGAUUUCAACCAGAGACUAUUGCAUGUGCUUGCAUCUACCUUGCAGCUAGAGCUCUUCAGAUUCCAUUGCCAACUCGUCCCCAUUGGUUUCUUCUUUUUGGUACUACGGAAGAGGAGAUCCAA